rnacentral:rRNA from 1 species
AACGAACGCUGGCGGCAUGCCUAACACAUGCAAGUCGAACGAUGCCUCCGGGCUUAGUUGCGCUCGGGUGCGUAACGCGGGGGAAUCUGCCUUUCGGUACCGAAUACUUCAGGUUAACUUGAGCUAAUACCGGAUAACUUCGCAAGACCAAAGAUUUAUCACCGAAGGAUGAGCCCGCGUAGGAUUAGCCAGUUGGUGAGGUAAAGGCUCAUCAAGGCGACGAUCCUUAGCUGGUCUGAGAGGAUGAUCAGCCACACUGGGACUAAGACGCGGCCCAGAAUCCUACGGGAGGGAGCAGUGGGGAAUAUUGGACAAGGGGGGAAAGCCUGAUCCAGCAAUGCCGCGUAAGUGAUGAAGGCCUUAGGGUUGUAAAGCUCUUUUACCCGGGGAGAUAAUGACGGUACCGGGAGAAUAAGCCCCGGCUAACUCCGUG